rnacentral:rRNA from 1 species
GAAUAUUGGACAAUGGGCGCAAGCCUGAUCCAGCCAUGCCGCGUGUGUGAAGAAGGCCUUCGGGUUGUAAAGCACUUUUGUCCGGGAAGAAAAGCGACGGGUUAAUACCCUGUUGUUCUGACGGUACCGGAAGAAUAAGCACCGGCUAACUUCGUGCCAGCAGCCGCGGUAAUACGAAGGGUGCAAGCGUUACUCGGAAUUACUGGGCGUAAAGCGUGCGUAGGUGGUUCGUUAAGUCUGCCGUGAAAGCCCCGGGCUCAACCUGGGAAUGGCGGUGGAUACUGGCGGACUAGAGUGCGGUAGAGGGUGGUGGAAUUCCCGGUGUAGCAGUGAAAUGCGUAGAGAUCGGGAGGAACAUCUGUGGCGAAGGCGGCCACCUGGACCAGCACUGACACUGAGGCACGAAAGCGUGGGGAGCAAACAG